GACGGAGGAUGCAAGCGUUAUCCGGAAUGAUUGGGCGUAAAGCGUCCGCAGGUGGCAGUUCAAGUCUGCUGUCAAAGACCGGGGCUUAACUUCGGAAAGGCAGUGGAAACUGAACAGCUAGAGUAUGGUAGGGGCAGAGGGAAUUCCUGGUGUAGCGGUGAAAUGCGUAGAGAUCAGGAGGAACACCGGUGGCGAAGGCGGGUCUCUGGGCCGUAACUGACGCUGAGGAGCGAAAGCGUGGGUAGCAAACAGG
rnacentral:rRNA from 1 species